rnacentral:rRNA from 1 species
CAGUCGCCACGGUAAUACGUAGGGUGCAAGCGUUAAUCGGAAUUACUGGGCGUAAAGGGCGCGUAGGCGGUUUGGCAAGUUUGGUGUGAAAUCUUCGGGCUCAACUCGAAGUCUGCAUCGAAAACUGCCGGGCUUGAGUAUGGGAGAGGUGAGUGGAAUUUCCGGUGUAGCGGUGAAAUGCGUAGAUAUCGGAAGGAACACCUGUGGCGAAAGCGGCUCACUGGACCAUUACUGACGCUGAGGCGCGAAAGCUAGGGGAGCAAACAGGAUUAGAGACCCGCGUAGUCCCUGUCUCUUAUAA